GCCGACUAAGUGUUAUUAUUUGCACAUUGACCUUUCACGUCAAAAGAGCACACCAAAUGCAUUCGACU
rnacentral:tRNA from 1 species